rnacentral:rRNA from 1 species
AAUCCAUAGGUUAAUGAGGCGAACCGGGGGAACUGAAACAUCUAAGUACCCCGAGGAAAAGAAAUCAACCGAGAUUCCCCCAGUAGCGGCGAGCGAACGGGGAGGAGCCCAGAGCCUGAAUCAGCAUGUGUGUUAGUGGAAGCGUCUGGAAAGGCGCGCGAUACAGGGUGACAGCCCCGUACACAAAAGCGCAUGUGCUGUGAGCUCGAUGAGUAGGGCGGGACACGUGGUAUCCUGUCUGAAUAUGGGGGGACCAUCCUCCAAGGCUAAAUACUCCUGACUGACCGAUAGUGAACCAGUACCGUGAGGGAAAGGCGAAAAGAACCCCGGCGAGGGGAGUGAAAAAGAACCUGAAACCGUGUACGUACAAGCAGUGGGAGCACCCUUUGGGUGUGACUGCGUACCUUUUGUAUAAUGGGUCAGCGACUUAUAUUCUGUAGCAAGGUUAACCGAAUAGGGGAGCCGGAGGGAAACCGAGUCUUAACCGGGCGUUAAGUUGCAGGGUAUAGACCCGAAACCCGGUGAUCUAGCCAUGGGCAGGUUGAAGGUUGGGUAACACUAACUGGAGGACCGAACCGACUAAUGUUGAAAAAUUAGCGGAUGACCUGUGGCUGGGGGUGAAAGGCCAAUCAAACCGGGAGAUAGCUGGUUCUCCCCGAAAGCUAUUUAGGUAGCGCCUCGUGAAUUCAUCUCCGGGGGUAGAGCACUGUUUCGGCUAGGGGGCCAUCCCGGCUUACCAACCCGAUGCAAACUGCGAAUACCGGAGAAUGUUAUCACGGGAGACACACGGCGGGUGCUAACGUCCGUCGUGAAGAGGGAAACAACCCAGACCGCCAGCUAAGGUCCCAAAGUCAUGGUUAAGUGGGAAACGAUGUGGGAAGGCCCAGACAGCCAGGAUGUUGGCUUAGAAGCAGCCAUCAUUUAAAGAAAGCGUAAUAGCUCACUGGUCGAGUCGGCCUGCGCGGAAGAUGUAACGGGGCUAAACCAUGCACCGAAGCUGCGGCAGCGACACUGUGUGUUGUUGGGUAGGGGAGCGUUCUGUAAGCCUGUGAAGGUGUGUCGUGAGGCAUGCUGGAGGUAUCAGAAGUGCGAAUGCUGACA